rnacentral:rRNA from 1 species
CCUACGGGAGGCAGCAGUGAGGAAUAUUGGUCAAUGGGCGAGAGCCUGAACCAGCCAAGUAGCGUGAAGGAUGACUGCCCUACGGGUUGUAAACUUCUUUUAUAAAGGAAUAAAAUGAGGCACGUGUGCCUUUUUGCAUGUACUUUAUGAAUAAGGAUCGGCUAACUCCGUGCCAGCAGCCGCGGUAAUACGGAGGAUCCGAGCGUUAUCCGGAUUUAUUGGGUUUAAAGGGAGCGUAGAUGGGUUGUUAAGUCAGUUGUGAAAGGUUGCGGCUCAACCGUAAAAUUGCAAGUGAUACUGGCAGUCUUGAGUACAGUUGAGGUAGGCGGAAUUCGGGGUGUAGCGGUGAAAUGCGUAGAUAUCACGAAGAACUCCGAUUGCGAAGGCAGAUUACUAAACUGCCACUGACAUUGAUGCUCGAAAGUGUGGGUAUCAAACAGGAUUAGAUACCCGAGUAGUC